AGUGUAGGCGGCUACGUAAGUCGGAUGUGAAAGCCCUGGGCUUAACCUGGGAAUUGCAUUCGAUACUGCGUGGCUAGAGUCUGACAGAGGGAAGUGGAAUUCCGGGUGUAGCGGUGAAAUGCGUAGAUAUCCGGAGGGACACCAGUGGCGAAGGCGGCUUCCUGGGUCAAGACUGACGCUGAGGCUCGAAAGCGUGGGGAGCAAACA
rnacentral:rRNA from 1 species